UACCAGCACCCCGAGUGGUCGGGACGUUUAUUGGGCCUAAAGCAUCCGUAGCCGGUUCUACAAGUCUUCCGUUAAAUCCAGCUGCUUAACAGAUGGGCUGCGGAAGAUACUAUGGAGCUAGGAGGCGGGAGAGGCAAGCGGUACUCGAUGGGUAGGGGUAAAAUCCGUUAAUCCAUUGAAGACCACCAGUGGCGAAGGCGGCUAUCUGGACGGUUUCUGACGCUAAGACGCGAAAGCGUGGGGAGCAAACAGG
rnacentral:rRNA from 1 species